GACAUUAUCCACAAAUACCAGUUUAGUUUUCGUAAAGGACUCUCAACGAUUCAUCAGUUAAAACGAGUUUUAAAAUUAAUUACCGACAACAAAAUUAAGAGGAAAAGUACAGUAGUGGUAUUGCACGAUAUCGAAAAAGCUUUUAAUACCAAACCUCGGUAGAGAGCGGAGAAAAACGACCUGUUCUCGGCGAUUGCCCAAUCAAGACUGAUGUAAAAAUAUAUAUUCAGGUGUGAACAUUGGUUAAAAUCUACAUUUACAUUAAACCCUCAUUAAACAAUAAGUAAGAAUGGAGCCAAGCAAAACCGACCUCUUAAAACUCUACCCCACAAUAAAUAUAACUAGAAAGUACAUUAAAUAAAGUCAGUAAAGGCUAUAGCCAUCGCCUAACAGUUCUUUUAAAUAAAUA
rnacentral:sRNA from 1 species